rnacentral:tRNA from 1 species
GCCCUAGUGGUCUAAUGGCUAUGACACUAGCCUGUCGCGCUGGUGAUCCGAGUUCGAUUCUCGGCUGGGGCG